CAUUGCACAAAACAAAAAAAUGGGCCAAGCCCAAACUCUAUCACUCAUUUCUUUCAUUCUCAAACCCUAAAAAACUGAAAGGCAAGCCGUUCUUCUCCCCUACAACCACCGCCGUUUUUUUGCCGCAAUCACACGUCAAGAUCGGCCUCGUUUUCUUGAUCUCCUCUACCAUCGCUAUCUUUCUAUCCCAACGAAAUCACGUAAGUAGAUCGAAAAAUGGACACUUCCAUUUAACGGAGUUUUCCCGGCAGCAUCGUCAUUGUUUCAUCAAAGGACCGCUAUAUAUUUCAUACUUUUCUUCUCCUCUGAAAAUACAUGGAAAAAGGUUUUUCGUUAGGGUUGAUCUAAACGUUCCUUUGGAUGAUAACUUGUACAUCACUGAUGAUACCAGAAUCCGUGUUGCUGUUCCUAUUAUCAAGUAGUUGACUGGUUAUCCUGUAAAAGUCAUCCUUUCAAGCAUCUGGCUCCAUUGGUAGUGAAUGCUCUUCUUAAAUUCUAUUGCUCCUUCCUUCCUUUGCAGAGAUUUCAAUAUUCAUAAAAAAGGGAGGGGGAGAUUUGAAUGAAGAGAGAGAUAUUCCGGAUCUUCUUUAUGUAGCUGAUAAUUUGGAGACUGCCUACAGUCUUGUUGAUGUAAUUAUCAGUUCAUAAACAUGUAUUAUGGAAAGGCUCACGAGAAGAACAAAAAUUGGAUGGAUACAUCAAGUUUUAAUUUAGCUAGUGAUUAUACAGUGGAAGAACAAAAAAUACCUCCUGGAUUUUCAUUUCUUGCAAGGGAGAAAAGGUUCUUAUUUUUAUGCAAGUGUACCUGCAAAAUCAACACAAGAACACCAAAGCAUAAGAGCAUGAAUUGCAAUUAUCUGAAAACAAAUUCUCAAUAUGAUUGACAUAAAUUUGCCAAAUCAAAUGAGGGAUCCAUUUUCAAACACUUGAAAACAGACAAAAUUAGGCAAUGGACACCAAACAAUACUUUAAUGGGUAUAUAUAUAUAUAUAUAUAUAGUGAUAAACUUGGAGGGCAA